CUACGGGGGGCUGCAGUGAGGAAUAUUGCACAACGGGGGGAACCCUGAUGCAGCAACGCCGCGUGGAGGAUGACGCAUUUCGGUGUGUAAACUCCUUUUAUAUGUCAAGAAAAUGACGGUAGCAUAUGAAUAAGCACCGGCUAACUCCGUGCCAGCAGCCGCGGUAAUCGGAGGGUGCAAGCGUUACUCGGAAUCACUGGGCGUAAAGGACGCGUAGGCGGGUUGGAAAGUCAGGUGUGAAAUCCUACAGCUUAACUGUAGAACUGCACUUGAAACUUCUAAUCUAGAGUAUGGGAGGGGGAGAUGGAAUUAGUGGUGUAGGGGUAAAAUCCGUAGAUAUCACUAGGAAUACCUAAAGCGAAGGCGAUCUCCUGGAGCAUUACUGACGCUAAGGCGUGAAAGCGUGGGGAGCAAACAGGAUUAGAUACCCCAGUAGUC
rnacentral:rRNA from 1 species